CAUUCUGCUGCUCGGCAGGGCUGCCCAGGAGAGGGAGCACCGGCUGUACACUUGCCUGGCGUCUUUGGUCUGCCCCCAGUGGGCAUUUCGGGGCAGGCUGGCCCAGGAGGGGCUAGUCCCCACCCCGUUGUUUUAAUUUACUCAGGGGCUGAUACAGAGCAGUGGGGGGCAGCAGGGCGAGGGCUCCAUGGAGGGGCAGUGCAGAACUGGCAGAGGUGGUCAGCACCGCCCAAGCGGCACCCCUCCCCCUUCCCACCCCGGACUCGGCCUGGGCCCCCUGGGGGCUUAUGGAACCAGGAAUUCCCUUUUCCCCAGCCCUAAUAGCAAUCAGAUGGCGCAAGUGGAAAAUCACGGCGCUCGGCAAGCAAGCUGGAAAUUGGCGGGCUGUGGUGCCUGGUGCCUGCGCUGCUCAGCGGGAGGAUGAGUCAGGAGUGUAGUGCCCAGACUGGGAGAGAUGUGCCUCUGUGGGCAUCUUGAAGGGAAAUGAGAAGCGGAGCUGCCCCUGCACCUGCGCUGGGAGCUGCCUGCCUCCUGCUUGUCCUGGCCAUGUGCGAACCUCAGCGUGGAAGAGGGACUCUCGCACUGCUCCCUGCGCGGCUCAGCUGGCCUCCUGGGAAGCCACAAGAAACUAAUCCAUGGGGAUGGCCAGGCCUGAUUAGCUGGGGUGGGGCUGGAGGCUCCUCUACAGAGAUGAUGCUUACACUGAGACCUGAAGGAGAAGGAGGAGGUGGCUGCUCACGCAACCCACAGGAAAGUGUUCCAGGAUCAAGAACAGCAGGUGCAAAGGCCCCGUGAUGGAAAGGAUUGGUGCACUAGGAGAACAAAGUGGGUGGCUGCAGGGCAGGAGGGGAGGGUGCAUGUGCAGGCUGGGCAGGAGGGUAGGGCCUUGAGGCACCCUACAGGCCCCUGUAAGUCCAGGCACAGAGCUGCUGCCUUGAGCCCUGAGGUCUGGACAUUCCAGUUUCCCAUCUUUCCAAUGUGGGACUCUCUGCCUUUUCCAAUUCCCCACUUCCCUGAUGCCAGAUACUGCCUGACUGUGUCCAUCUCUCCCCCGUCCCCUGGGCCACCUCCCUGCUGAGACCCCUCACUGGUGCCUCCCAGGUGCAUUCUCCUCGCUGCCCCCAGCAGAGUCCUUCCCACACACCCAGCUCCUCGGUGUGGUGCCUGCCCGUGGGUGGGUGGUGCACCCCACUGGCAUCCCUCCUCUGCCCUGUCCACCUCAACUUCCAGGGCAGCCUGGACACCAGGUUUGGUCUACCUCGUCCACACCCGCCUGCUUCUGUCCCGCCUUAAGCGGAUCCGUGAUGUCCCGUCAUUAGACCUUCAAUUUCAGCACAGGACUGAAUAACUAACCUUCAAAAAGUUUGCAGUAGCCUUGUCACUCCUAAAAAUAACAAAUAAUUCCUUAAACAUCAUUCAACAUCCAAUCAGUGUUUGCACACUUUUUUUACAGCUCUGCAUGUGUGUCACAAGCUAAACAAGGCCCGUGAGUGGAUGUGCUUCUUUUUGGGGUUGGGGAGAGACGGUGUCUCACUCUGUUGCCCAGGCUGGAUUGCAGUGGCAAGAUCUUGGCUCAUUGUGUCUCCCGGGUUCAAGCGAUUCUUCUGCCUCAGACUCUUGAGUAGCUGGGACUACAGGCAGUGCCACCACGCCUGGCUAA
rnacentral:lncRNA from 1 species